rnacentral:rRNA from 1 species
GCUCAGCCAUAAACAUAGACAAUACAAAUACAUAUUGUUCGCCAGAGAACUACAAGUGAAAAACUCAAAACUCCAAGGACUUGGCGGUGCCCCACACCGACCUAGAGGAGCCUGUCCUACAAUCGAUACCCCACGCUAAACCCAACCACCCCUCGCCAAUCAGCCUAUAUACCGCCGUCGUCAGCCCACCUUAUGAAAGAAGAACAGUUGGCAAGAUAGUUAACAACAAACACGUCAGGUCAAGGUGUAGCACAUGAGGUGGCAGAGAUGGGCUACAUUCUCUACUCCAGAACACACGGAUGGCAUAAUGAAACCUUAUACCUAAAGGCGGAUUUAGCAGUAAGACAAACAAGUAUUUCUGUCUUAAACCAGCUCUGGGGCGCGCACACACCGCCCGUCA